GAGCCAACGUAGGCAAACAGCUGCCACCACCCUCACCAUGAAAAUAGAAGGUGCCUCGGUGGUCCUUGCUCUGGCAUUUUUCUGCUUCUUCUCAGAUGUUGCCAGUCAAGCUUCAAUUAAGAACGAAUGCAGGAAAAUUUGGUCACUCCUGCGCAGCGGGAAGUUUUCCUGCCCCACCACCAAGGAGCCCUUCAGCAGCCCAAAUAAAAAAGGAGACCUCAACAAGUGCAUGAUGUGCCAAAGGCUGCUGGAAAGAGACUCAAAAACCCAGGGGAGUGGUGGAGAGAUGGACAGGAAUGUGAACUCCUUGGGAAAGGAUGAGUGUCGGGAGUUUCGGGAUCUGUUCAACAGAGGGAAACUUUCCUGCACCAGGGAGAACGACCCAGUCCGGGAUGCCUCUGGGAAGCAGCACAGCAAUAAGUGCAUCAUGUGUGCAGAGAAGUUCAAAAGGGAGAAUGAGCAGAAGUUAUCUAAAAACAGACAAGGAAAAGAUAAGGAUGACUGCAGCGAGUUCCGCUCCCAGUUUGAGGCUGGCGGCCGCCUGUCCUGCACCAGGGAGAACGCCCCUGUCCGGGACGCCUCUGGCAGGCAGCACACCAACAAGUGCCUCAUGUGUGCUGAGAAGUUCAAAAAGGAAGCUCAGAGAGGGGGUGGAACUCUCCAGCGCAACAAAUUGCCCACUUCAGAGAGGACAAAGCAGAAGAACUGUGGUGGCUCACGGCAGGGUGUAAACGAGAGGCGUCCCUUCUCCUCGGGCAGAGGCCCACAAGUCCAGCGUGGCAGGAACUGCAACCGGCCACCGGGCCGCAAGUCACAGAGCAGAGACAGCCAGGAGGACCCCACGCUGGACUGUGAUCGAAUUCUGCAUGGGGUAAAGGGUGGAAGGAUUUUCUGCAGCGAAUCCUCACAACCAGUCUGUGGCACUGAUGGGAAAACAUACAAAAAUGAAUGUGACUUGUGUUCAGCUGCCAUGAGAGCUUCAAACUUCAUCACGGUAAACUAUCGAGGCGAGUGCCGAGAGCCCGGCCCUGCAGUGGUUGGCAUCGUGGGAUAAGCUAUCUUUUUUUGGAGUAAUGGAGUUCAGACUGCCAGCAAACACCAGGGAUCAGCUGUGACAAAAGAGCGAGUAAAGAAGCGUCGAUGUCGAGCAUCAGGGGAGCUGCCGAGCCCCCAGGACUGCCAGAGCUGCCUCCAUCCCCUUCUGCAGCCCACGGGGCCUGUCCUUGCUCAGGUGGAGGGCGAGAGGCUGUGGGGACUCAGUGCUGCCUUCCCAGGUGUGCCCCGUGCGUGCUGCUGCAGUCCCUGCCGCCUCGCUGUGUCUAAAUGUGCUUCUCCAAUAAAGAUAACUCCUCAGCUUCAUGUCACUUUUCUUCACUCAGCCUCGGGGAGGGACACAGCAGUCCCUGCUCUGGCUUUGCACCAUGUGCUCCUUAGGCAAUGAGCACCCUGAGGUGCAGCAGCUGCUGUAAAUACCUGGCGAAGAUGUUGGACCCAAGGAGGAAGAGUGUGGUCUGGGGUUUUGUGAGGAGGGGCCAGGGGUCAGUUCUCUCUGGCUCUUAUGGGGUCUUGGGUCAAUCACUUCACUGCCCUAUCAGCCCUUUUCUCCUGCCUGUAAAAUGAACA